rnacentral:sRNA from 12 species
GCACUGGGGACGUGUUGGGGACAGGUGGCCGCGUCUGGGUUCGUGGUGGUCGGCGUGGUCAAGUGGCUCUUCCACGGCUCCCUCGCCGUGUUU